UUCCCAUUUGAUUUCCAAAUUUAUACCCAAUUAUUUCUUUGAACCAAAAUGAGAAAGGGAGACGAGACAAGUUACAUUUCACAGAAAAUUGUCACUGGGUAUGUGAAAAUGGUGUCGAUUAAUGUAAUGGUGUAAAUACAAACUGUUACAGAUUGAAACGCCAAUGUUUCUUGACAAAUUUAUUCGAUUACAAAAAAGUAAAAUUGAACCCUACUUUUUGACCUAAUAAUGACUGCUAUAAAAGUGCAUGGUGGUAUCGAUAUUCUAAGAUUACCGGUAAACGAAGAAGAACAUAUUUGCCCUCCAUGGCGUAUCAAAUAUACACAAUCUCAUAUAUUACAUUCUAAGUGUUCAAAAAGCGAAAGUGGCUGUGGUUCCAAUAACGAGAUUGCCUGUCAGUUUUGCGUAUAUAACAAUGCGUUAGAAUUGCCGCAUAUGCCGGAUAUGGUAUUUCCCAAUAACAUAUUAACUCUGAUGCAUCAGGAAGGACCGUUUCUGCAAUUCAAUGCUUUGGAUUCUUUAAGAUAUGUCUCUAAUGGAAAGAUUAAUAUACAGCUUGCUUGCGCAGAAGCAUGGAAAGAAUCUAGAUCGGAAAGUAGCGAAUAUUUGGAAGAGAAAAUAAAACCGUUUGAUUGGACAUUUACCACCAGUUAUACUGGUACGAUAACAGGCUUUGAAGUUGAAGAAACAAAUGAGAGAAUUGAUAUGGAUAAAUUAAGGCAGAGGGAUAAGAUUAUGUUUUAUCAUGAUUUAACACUAUUUGAAGAUGAACUUCAUGACAAUGGUAUUGCAGUAAACUCGGUCAAAAUUAGAGUUAUGCCCACUAGUUUCUUCAUAUUAUUACGAUAUUUUCUGAGAAUUGAUAAUGUAAUGCUGAGGAUAAAUGAUACUCGUAUUUAUCAUGAAUUUGGCAAAAAUUACUUAUUACGCGAGUUUACAUCACGGGAAGCUAAAGUUCAAGAUAUUCGAGUUUCUCCAACACUUUUUUUGGAGCCAAGUGCAAUAGCACCUCAUUUACCAUUAAUUGGAAGCCGAUAUGAUAAAUUGAUAAUAUCUGAAAAACAAGGACCUACAUUAACUGAAGAUACAACUGACCAGAAUAAAACUUUGACUGAAGGAAAAAUAACACAAUUUGAUGAACCUACGGCAGACAAUUCCAUCACAUAAGAUUUCAAGUUUGGGUGUCGAAGAGAAUGCGAUUGGAUCCCGCUCUUGGAGACUUUGACUAGAUUCCGCGCAGAAAAGCUUUGCUUCUCUGUAUUUCACUAUAAACACCAUUGCAUGUGUUUCUCUCUCUCCCGGGACAAGUAGAAAAUAAAUAUCAAGGGGAAAAGAGGAAGGAAGAGGAGAAGAGCCGAGGGAGAGAACUGAUCGGCUUUUGGGUUGGGCUGCCUUCUCACCACCACACGGUGAUGUUUAUUCGCGAGCGUAAAAAAACUUGGGUGAAUUCCAUCGUACGGGUCGACAGAGAGAGAGAGAGAUACGGGGAGGAGGAGGGAGAGGGGAUGGAAAGAAGAGAGAGGAAGACGAGGAGGAGAACAAGGAGAGAAGGCAAACUGGACGGUGGAGCGAAGAGGAGACAGAGAAACGCAAUAAGAGCAAGAAACAAGGAGGUCGUCGACGACAGCAAUCUCUCCGGGUGCGUAGGUGUUUCCGGCCGGCUGAAGAAGCACGGCCGCCUGCGCCCGUCGAUCCAGAAGAAGACGGUCGAGCCAGGAUAGAAUCAGAGGGGAGAAGAAGGAAAGAAAGAAAAGAAGAGAGACGGGACGAUGACGAGUUGGUGGCGAGAACGACAUAGAAAGAGAGCUAAAAAGAUGGAGAAGAGGGAGGGGAAAAAGAGAGAGGGGACUCGACAGGGGGAAAGACAGAGAACAACUCGACCGGAAGCAGUUACUCGCGCGAUGCAACGAAAAUAUCAGAGCGUCCGUUUCGCGCAAUAGGUCUGCCCGCGCGUCCGCCCGAAGUUUAAUAUAGAACACUCGCGCGGCCGGCUCCGUCGCGAAAACAUCACGCGCUGACGUCGACCGUGCGCGAGUUCCUCCUCUCUCUUUCUCUCUCUCAGCUCGAGAAAAACGUCUCCUUCUUUCCGCUUGGCCGUCGCGACUCCCGGCCUUCUUCCUCUCUUCGGACGCAGCGCGGACCCCUAAAAUUAGGCUCGUGUCCACUCGCUCGACGCGCCGCCGCUGCCGCCACCACCACUGUCGCCGCGGGUGACAUCCGCGUCGGAGAGUCGGACUCGUCGAAGGUCUUUGUCCGUGACAGUGGUGUGGCCGUGCGGUGGCACGUAGCGACCUUUGAAUAGCGGGAACAAGGUGCACGGCAUCGGCGCAUCGCCGAUUUCGCGUCCUUUGCUAUCUCUCGAAAUGAGAACGACUAUUUUUGUCCUCCUCUGCCCCAAUUCCUUUCGAAAAGAAGCGAGAAUCGAUAAUCGUAAUCACUUAUUGACGCUUAGAAAUGAAAGAAUGACUACGGUAUCUCGUGGUCCGGAUAUAAUUGUCACGGUAUUUAAUUUCGAUAUUUCACUAUGAGAACAUAAAAUAUCGUUCUGAUAACCCGAAAGGAAGUAAAAUUUUAUUUCGAUAUAUCAAUGUUAUUAAUGAUAUUUAAAAAGGGAAAAAUGAAAAAUAUUGUAUCUUGCUGGCUUCCAUUUCACUAUCUUGAAACCAGAUUAAAGUCAUUCUGCAAUUUAGCGGCUCUAAAGAAAACAUAUAUAUAAAUGCAACGUUCAUUUUUAAGUCACA
rnacentral:misc_RNA from 1 species